UCUGAGCUGUUAUGGCAAGCUACUUCAAU
rnacentral:sRNA from 1 species